rnacentral:rRNA from 1 species
CAACCUGCCGUCUACUCUUGGACAGCCUUCUGAAAGGAAGAUUAAUACAAGAUGGCAUCAUGAGUCCGCAUGUUCACAUGAUUAAAGGUAUUCCGGUAGACGAUGGGGAUGCGUUCCAUUAGAUAGUAGGCGGGGUAACGGCCCACCUAGUCUUCGAUGGAUAGGGGUUCUGAGAGGAAGGUCCCCCACAUUGGAACUGAGACACGGUCCAAACUCCUACGGGAGGCAGCAGUGAGGAAUAUUGGUCAAUGGGCGAGAGCCUGAACCAGCCAAGUAGCGUGAAGGAUGACUGCCCUAUGGGUUGUAAACUUCUUUUAUAAAGGAAUAAAGUCGGGUAUGGACACCCGUUUGCAUGUACUUUAUGAAUAAGGAUCGGCUAACUCCGUGCCAGCAGCCGCGGUAAUACGGAGGAUCCGAGCGUUAUCCGGAUUUAUUGGGUUUAAAGGGAGCGUAGAUGGAUGUUUAAGUCAGUUGUGAAAGUUUGCGGCUCAACCGUAAAAUUGCAGUUGAUACUGGAUAUCUUGAGUGCAGUUGAGGCAGGCGGAAUUCGUGGUGUAGCGGUGAAAUGCUUAGAUAUCACGAAGAACUCCGAUUG